CCCAGACUCCUACGGGAGGCAGCAGUGGGGAAUAUUGCGCAAUGGGGGAAACCCUGACGCAGCAACGCCGCGUGAGUGAAGAAGUAUCUCGGUAUGUAAAGCUCUAUCAGCGGGGAAGAAGGAAGACGGUACCCGACUAAGAAGCCCCGGCUAACUACGUGCCAGCAGCCGCGGUAAUACGUAGGGGGCAAGCGUUAUCCGGAUUUACUGGGUGUAAAGGGAGCGUAGACGGCGAAGCAAGUCUGAAGUGAAAACCCAGGGCUCAACCCUGGGACUGCUUUGGAAACUGUUUUGCUAGAGUGUCGGAGAGGUAAGUGGAAUUCCUAGUGUAGCGGUGAAAUGCGUAGAUAUUAGGAGGAACACCAGUGGCGAAGGCGGCUUACUGGACGAUAACUGACGUUGAGGCUCGAAAGCGUGGGGAGCAAACAGGAUUAGAUACCCCCGUA
rnacentral:rRNA from 1 species